rnacentral:rRNA from 1 species
GUGCCAGCAGCCGCGGUAAUACGGAGGGUGCAAGCGUUAUCCGGAAUCACUGGGUUUAAAGGGUGCGUAGGCGGCUUAAUCAGUCAGGGGUGAAAUCUUCCCGCUCAACGGGAAACCUGCCUUUGAUACUGUUGAGCUUGAAUUAGGUUGAGGUCGGCGGAAUGUGGCAUGUAGCGGUGAAAUGCAUAGAUAUGCCAUAGAACACCAAUUGCGAAGGCAGCUGACUAGGCCUGAAUUGACGCUGAGGCACGAAAGCGUGGGGAGCGAACAGGAUUAGAAACCCCAGUAGUCC